AAAGAAACUAACAAGGAUGCCUUCAGUAACGGCGAGUGAAGCAGGCAUAGCUCAACUUGUAAAUCGAAUAUCUAAACGGGUGUUCGAGUUGUAGUCUCGAGAAGCAUGUUCAGCGUGUGACCUAGGUAUAAAUCCUUUGGAACAGGGUAUCAUAGAGGGUGAGAAUCCCGUCUUUGACCUAGAGUUCACCGCGUACGAACUGUUUUCUAAGAGUCGAGUUGAUUGGGAUCUCAGCUCUAAGUGGGAGGUAAAUUUCUUCUAAAGCUAAAUAUUGGCGAGAGACCGAUAGCGAACAAGUACCGUGAGGGAAAGAUGAAAAGAACUUUGAAAAGAGAGUUAAACAGUACUUGAAAUUGCUAAGAGGGAAGCGCUAGAAGCCAGUCGAACUUGGAGGGAUUUUAAUGUCUGACGGUGCCUAUAAGGUUAAGUAGUUCGAAAGGCUGCUUGAUUUUAGAAGUGUCGUUGGGCAGAUCGUCUCUUUUUGUCGGUCAGGAUCAAAUGGAUUCGUGGGUUACGACUUUGAGUGAGACUCUCGGUGGCGACACUGGGGUUAAACCUUGGAGGCAUACCAUGGAUUCGUUUGAGGAAUUGAUAAGGGGCGCCGUAAGGCUU
rnacentral:rRNA from 1 species